rnacentral:rRNA from 1 species
UACGGAGGGAGCUGGCGUUGUUCGGAAUUACUGGGCGUAAAGCGCGCGUAGGCGGCUUUGUAAGUUAGAGGUGAAAGCCCGGAGCUCAACUCCGGAACUGCCUUUAAAACUGCAUCGCUUGAAUCCAGGAGAGGUGAGUGGAAUUCCGAGUGUAGAGGUGAAAUUCGUAGAUAUUCGGAAGAACACCAGUGGCGAAGGCGGCUCACUGGACUGGUAUUGACGCUGAGGUGCGAAAGCGUGGGGAGCAAACAGG